rnacentral:tRNA from 1 species
AAGGCUUUAAGUUAAUUAAACUAGUAGUCUUCAAAACUACAAAUGACCAAUUUUAUGUCAAGCCUUG